AGUGCGAAGCCAGCCGCAAGAUGAGAACUCCAUUGAGGGUCGUCAAAGACGAUGACGUUGAUAGGAUGCAGGUGUAAAGACAGCGAUGUCAAAGCCGAGCAUUACUAAUUGCCCGAACACUUUCUUUAG
rnacentral:rRNA from 1 species